rnacentral:rRNA from 1 species
AUUGAACGCUGGCGGCGUGCUUAACACAUGCAAGUCGAUCGGUAACAGGUGUAGCAAUACAUGCUGACGAGAGGCGGACGGGUGAGUAAUGCUUGGGAAUCUGCCUAUUAGUGGGGGACAACCCGGGGAAACUCGGGCUAAUACCGCAUACGCUCUACGGAGGAAAGCCGGGGACCGCAAGGCCUGGCGCUAAUAGAUGAGCCCAAGUCGGAUUAGCUAGUUGGUAGGGAACGGCCUACCAAGGCGACAAUCCGUAGCUGGUCUGAGAGGACGACCAGCCACACCGGAACUGAGACACGGUCCGGACUCCUACGGGAGGCAGCAGUGGGGAAUAUUGGACAAUGGGGCAACCCUGAUCCAGCGACGCCGCGUGGGUGAAGAAGGCCUGCGGGUUGUAAAGCCC